AUAAAUAAAUAAAUAAAAGGGCCUCAGUGCCUUAUUGUGUUGUUCCCUCAAUAGGGCUGCUUGAGCAUUCUCAUGUUAUGGCAUCUGGCUUCAGAACAAAUCAUCCUAGAAAGAACAAAGAGAAAAGCCAGUAUGCCUCAGAAGAGAGCCAAUUAAUCUUAGAAGUCACCAUCAAUCUCUCCACAUUUUGGUUGUCAGAACUAAUUCGGAUUCUGAAAUAAUAGGUUAUGCUUUGGACACAUUAUAUAAUAUAAUAUCUAAUGAUGAAGAAGAAGAAGUAG